rnacentral:lncRNA from 1 species
GGGAAUCGGAGUCGACUUCUGCUUCAAGAGGAAUGGCAAGGCUGUAGAGCUGAGAUGAGAAACUGUAAACUUGCUCAGCCAAAGGAGGCUAAUAAUGAAGGGGCCAGGGAAAGAGGCCAAUGCUACAGGGUUAUCUCCUAACCUCAGAUGUUGGAUAAGUCCACGGAAACAGCAGCGCUUCAGGAUGGCUUCAGAAAGGCUGGAGUGAUUGUUUGGAAGAGAAAAACCUGCCUAUUCAUUCAAAGAUGUUAGUCUAUCUAGAACAACAGAUUUGGAUCUAAGCUGGACCUUUGAGAAAGAAAAGACUUCGAGGAAAGACACCUUUACAUGUGUUUUAAUUACCUUUCACCUGAAUUGUUUAAUGCACACUAUCCAAACUAUAUUCAUCUGUCUUGCUUCCUGUGUAUUUCUUCUU